UGCGAGAUGUGGUGGAUGAAGAAGCACUUGUGCUGAGGAGAGCCUUCAGGCGAGAAAGGGUCUUCAGGGACCGGUUGGACCCACUGGCCUUCCUGAUGACCAUCUAUAUGAAAGAUACAGGUUUUCUGCAGAUGGCAUCAGGUAUCUAUGCAGACUACUGGGUCCCAGGAUUAAGCACCGCACUGCACGGAGCCAUGCACUGAGUGUGGAGCAAAUGGUUUGUGUGGCCUUGCGCUUUUUGCUAGUGGAGCCUUCCUGUACUCAGUGGGGGAUGCAGAACAGCUGAACAAGGCCACAAUUUGCCACUACAAUAAGGAGUGUGUGUCUGGCUAUCAAAGCAUUAGCAGAUGUCUUCAUCUCCUUCCUGGCCACAGAAGACUCUGUGACAUCAAAGAGGAGUUCUAUAGGAUUGCAGAUGGUCUGCAAUGCUGACUGUGUGAUCAGCAAUGUUGUGGCAAAAUGGCCUGGCUCAGUCCAUGACUCCAGAAUCUUUCGGGCCUCUGAAAUCUAUCAGUGCCUAUCACAAGGUGAAUUCUCUGGUGUGUUGCUGGGAGACAGGGGUAUGGCUGCCAGCCUUUUCUCCUGACACCUUUCACAGACCCCCAGGAAGCACAGCAGGCCUACAACCAUGCCCAUGCCAGGACCAGGGCCAGAGUUGAAAUGACCUUUGGCCUCCUGAAGGCACGCUUUCACUGCCUUCACAAA